rnacentral:rRNA from 1 species
ACGGAGGGAGCUAGCGUUGUUCGGAAAUACUGGGCGUAAAGCGAACGUAGGCGGCCUAGCAAGUCAGGGGUGAAAUCCCGGGGCUCAACCCCGGAACUGCCCUUGAAACUGCUAAGCUAGAAUCCUGGAGAGGUCAGUGGAAUUCCGAGUGUAGAGGUGAAAUUCGUAGAUAUUCGGAAGAACACCAGUGGCGAAGGCGACUGACUGGACAGGUAUUGACGCUGAGGUUCGAAAGCGUGGGGAGCAAACAGG